ensembl:lncRNA
AAAAGCAGUCCUCAGCUGUACAAUUUUGCAGCCGUGUUAUGCACCUGGGAAAACUACCCUUCAUAUUAGAAUAUCUGUCACAUGCAGCUUGAAAGACACUGCAAGAGUAAAAGGGAUGGGAUCCUUACUCCUCCUCUUAGUAAUCGCAAGGGAUCAACGUGUUCCAUGUGAUCAAAGAAAGGUGAAACUUCUGUGACAACAAGAUGAAAACAGGUUUGCACUGCAUCCUGUGGGAUAUUAGAAUGAGCUGCCAAGAAGCUAGAAGACAGGUCUUUCUAGACAAAAUAUCUAGACCAUGGAGCAUAUGGCAGCCUCCAAGGAAGACAACAUGUCUCAGUCUGCUGGAGAACUCUUCCCUUGCAGGCGACUUCUUUGGGAGAUGAAGGGAGAUGCCAGGGAUUUGGAUAACGUUCACUCAUCUCAGUCUUGGGGAAAAAUCUAGAUGGGCUGAUACGUGUUUGAGGACAUUGUGGAUGACCUCCAGGGGGACCGAACUCAUCAGAAAUCAGGUAUUAAAGGGCCGCUUCACCACUCCUGUCCCAUGUGAGAAAUGCAGGCAGAAAAUAAAGAUUUUGAUACACACUGCAGCACUGGGUAAGUCCUCUGCUGUAGCUCUUCCCCUCCUCUAUGUUAGAGCAUCCAUGCAGAAAUGUUUGAAAGAAUCAGUGUGGCCAUUGCUUGUCAGAGUCUCAAGUCUCAGAGUCUUGAGCUGUUAGCUAAGAACAUGCCAGAGCUGGAAACAUCUUCUUAAGACAGAAAUUUAACUAAGUUUAACUCAGUUGAUUUUCACCUAGAACAAAAAUGACUAUACCAGAGAUUCAAAAAGACAACCCUAACAGCCUUCAAAGUGAAACCAUUUGCUCUAACUGGAUAGACAAAAACUAACAAACAAAAACAAGCAAACAAAAAAAACAAAACAAAACCCUGCCAAUAUACUGCAUCUUGGUUUCAGAUUAAAUUCUUUGCAUUUGGUAAAAUAAAUCUAGCCUUUUUAAGUUAGAAAAUAUAUAUGUAUAUAAAUAUUUACAAAGGCUGCUCAGAAAGUAAUGCCUUCUAUUUUAUUAUGUUGGCCCAUGAAGUCAGAGGUGGAUGUUGGUGGGAAGGCAGUAGAGAUUGAACCUUCCUGCCAAUAUUCUGUUACUUCUUAUUGCCAUGCAACAGAUGACAGCAGAGGGGCAGUCUGACAAAAGGAUAUCUAACAUGGAAGUGUGUAUACAGUAAAGGUGUGUCACUGAAUUCCUCCAUGCGGAAGAACUGGCACCCACUGACAUUCAUCAAUGCUUGAGGAAUAUUUAUAGGGAACAAACAGUGGAUGUGAGCACAGUGAUGCAGUGUGUGAUGCGUUUCAGCAGUGGUGACAUUGAUGGGAAAGGUAAGCCACAUUCCAGAUGACCAUGCACAACUGUCAGAACACCAAAUGAAGAGCAUCUCAAUCAGCUCACUUGCACUAAUUGGCAGAUUAUGAUCAAGGAACUGUAUAUAGAGCUCAAUAUCAGGUUCAAUGCAUUUGAAACAAUGGUGGUAAUGUUGGAAUAUUGCUAAGUUUGAGCUAGGAGGGUCCCACGAAUUCUCACACAAGGAACAGAAAGAACACUGUGUCCAAGUUUGUUAAGAUCUAUUGGACUAAUACGACGCUGAAGGUGACAGUCUCUUGCAUCACAUCAUUACUGGUGACAAGAUCCGAACUCAAAACAGCAGUCUCUGGAGUGGUGAUAUGUGAAUUCCACAUGAAAGAAGAUGUUCAAGACAGCUCUCAGCAGAUAAGUGAUUGGGAUAGGGGUGAUUUUCUGAAUUUACUAGAACCCAAACAAACCUUCAACUCUGACUGCUACGUUGCAAUCCUGACUAAGCUAAAGUCUUGAACUUUCAGAAUUAGGCCAGAGAAGAAGAGAAGACAACUUCUCUCUUGCAAUGUGAUAACACCAGGUGCUAUAUCACUUUGUAGACCAUGGAGUAUAUUGCCAAUCUUGGCUGUCCUAUCCCACACACCACGUAGCCUAGAUUUGACACCUUCUGGCUUCCAUCUGUUUGGGCCAGUCAAAGAUGGACUGUGUGGGCAACAUUUUCCCAGCAAUACACCAUCAUAGCAGCUGUGAAAAAGUGGGUUACUUCUGCUGGUGCAGAUUUUUAUAAGUGCGGCAUGCAAGUUCUUGUUCAUCACAGAUAAAAAUGCAUAGGUAAUGGUAGCGACUGUAUUGAAAAAUAGUGUUUUGUAGCUGAGAAUUUGUUCUAUCAAGUAGUGUUAUUGUGUUAUUUGAUGUCAUUUCCAUGAAAACAAUGGAGGCAUUACUUUUGGAGUGACCUUUGUGUGUAUGUGUAUGUAUAUAUGCGCAAAAUUAUAUGUAAAUUGAACGGUUUUGCCUUUGUGAAGCUAGGUGAAAAACACUCUAGAAGCAUAAGCCACAGGAACAGAAGCUGAAAUAAGAAUCCAUUGAAAUUCAUACCUCGAGUUUAUACGUUUUUAGAAGUGUAUUUUUCCCUUUCAGACUGGUGAGCUGAGGUCUUUAAUUGACAAAGAUGACCCAGUGCCUCACCCUUUACCCUCUAAACUUAAUUUUAAGUAAAACUCAUAUGCUUCUCUCUAGUGGUUCCUUUUUAAUUGCCUUGAAUGUCUGAACUCUGUUAAAAUGUUUGGAGUUUCCAAGUCCAGUUGUACACAGAAAAAAUUGCUAGUUUGCAAGCUGUAACUGAAGUCAGAGAUUAGGUAUUGAUCUCAAAAGAAAAUUACUAAGGAUUGUGGGAGAUCUUGCUCUGACAAGAAAGGAUGACUUUUGAGGCCUCCAAAGAUGCAAAAUUCUUUCAAUGAUGUGCAUUAGUGCUAAUCAGUAUGUGUUGCCAUGGUUCAGUAGAAGUCAGUGCUGAACUUCACAAAACUCUUUCAACCUUUUCUCUCUAACUGUAUAAAUGUGAAAGUAACAAUAAAUCUUGUUGACAAUUACUUCCACAUCUAUUGGCAGUCAGUCAGGUGCAAUGUGAACAGCAUUGUGCACAAUAUGGGUAGCACAGCCAACACCUAUUAACUAUCUCCCUAGUUUCUCCUGUGACUUACAGAACAUGUUAUUUUUCCCCAGUGAGUAGCCCUUUCAAAUGUUGAAUUAGUAAUAUUAGCACCAAAUACUACUAAUUUGUCAGCCAGGCUGUGUUUUUCCAAAGUGUUCACAAUAGGGGCUGAUAACUGCUUUGCAGUUCAGCAGAGCAAAGAUGAAAAUUCAGAAACUUUCUAAAUCAUUUGUAUAAGACUCAAAGUAGGUUUUUGUUUGUUUGUUUGUUUGUUUUUGUUUUGUAACCACUAGAAUAUUCAAUAUGUGUGUUUAAAAAAGAAAAAAAGUGGCAUUUCAGCUUCACUCAGCAAGAUACUUAACUGCAUGGUAAUAUGGAAGUAUAUAUUUAGGUUCUUUGAAGAACCAGAGCUAGAAACAUUUUUAAUAGCAUGAAAUCUUUGUUCAAAGAACACAUUGUCAGGACCACCUUUGUAUUUUCAGAUUUUAGUGGCUAGCUUAACUAAUAUUUAUGAAGAAGUAAAUCUCUCUGCUAUAAAUAACAAUUUUCUAUUGUAUAUAAUGCAUUCAUUGCUUGAACAGUUUUCAUUGACAUCAGUAUGAAACCUGUGCAAAUAAUUUUGUAGCAUAUGAAACUGAAAAUCACAAAUGGUUGAGGGUUGAUAGUGUUACUUUUCUAUUCAGUCUUCUUAUGCAAUUCUUACAAGCAAGUGCACAAAUACUUUUAUGUGAAAGCAUACAUA